CACGAAGGCUCUCAUUGGUUUCUGCAGUCCUGGUCUCAGCUAGAACCACUUACAAAUGCAAAUACAAGGGAAUACCUGGUUCUUUGUUAGCCAUUUCUCUCACAGCAAGUGUAACCUAUUAGGAAACCUGUCAUCAGCUGUGCAGUAAAAGCUCCUGUUCUGCAGAUCAAGUCACUUCCUUGAUAUUUCAGAGAUCUUGUAGCAAGAAGAAGAAAAGAAAGCUUAUGAGCGAACAUCCUGGGAAGCUUUCAAGGGAGGAUUCUGAGACAGAGUGGCCGGGACAGCAUGCAGGUGGUACCGAUGCACAUGGACGAGGUAGUUCCUACCCAGGGACUGUCUCCAUGUCUGCAGCCCAGCAGAGACAGCACUGCCUCAAUCAUGCCUGGAUGUUCACACUCCUUCGGGAAGUCCUGCAGUCUUCAGAAAUGAUUGGUGCGCCUGCCCUUUCAUAUGGAGAAUUAACUGUUCUCAGCUGUGCCUUAUGAUUCCUGGUGGUGUGCUAUUAAAGAGGCUUCUGGCCCCAGAACCGAGUCACAGACAACAUCAUCUGUACUGAUGUGCAAGCAGACAUGUUUAAAAGGACCUCAGCUCAGCAUGGAAAUCCGCAUGUCCUUGAGGCUGUUGUACUUCACUGAGUGGAGGCAAAACCCAGCUGAUUUUCCACACCUCCCCCAGACCUACUGGCUGACCAGCAGCAGCAGCAGCAGCCUGCCUGUGGCGGUGCCUCUGGGCACGAGGAUGUUGGUGGAGUAACCUGACAUUGAUGAAGAUACCCUAAAAGGCAGCGAGCCCUACCCUGUGUUGUGACCACCUGUGGGGUUUGGCCCAGCUGGAGAUGCUGCUGGAGGGGUCCCCAGGCCCAAGAGGAGCACUGCUGCAAAAGGGUGGGUGCUGAGCCUAGGGGCUGCUGGAGGAGGCAUCUUGGAUGGGCUCUGCAGGAGAUGCUGGCAAACACAGAAAGAAGAGAACUUUCUUUCCUGUCCCCCUGAGCUACAGGACAAUGCUUCUGUAACCUUACAGUAAAACUGAGUCCCUGGGAGAAGAACUGGGCUACCACAGCUUCUUGUUACCACAAAAUGCUGAGAUGUUCUAACUCCAGCUAAUCAGCACACUCACGGAAAGGAGGACUACCCAAAGAGCCAGUGAUGCUGUCUCCUACCCAGAAGAUAUACCUUGAUGUUUCUUCUCUCUAAAGAACAGAUACAUCUUUGCCAUGUGUUGUCUGUGGAUGAAGGUGCACUCCACUGAAGCAGUCCUUUCUGAGCUACUGACUGGAAAUUGAGUUUGGUGGCCACAUCCAAGAACUUGCCAUGCAUGUGGAUCACCAUUCCCGUGGGCAGAAGUGCUGGAUUUAGGCAGCAGAAUGGCUUCUUGGAAUUCCUUGGUCACGAAGUAGUAGCAGACGCUGUCCAGGCAGCAGUUGGACGUGGCAAUGCACCUCGUCAGGGCAAAGAAGUCCAUCAUGACCUGCUUCAGGAAACAGCUAGUUCCAACAUACUCCAUUAUGAACCUGAAAAGUACCCCAAGAAGAACACCCACAGAGCAAGGGCAUUAAAUAUUGAUCCAAAAAAGAAAAUGAUGAUAUACAGAGCAAAUUCAGUGAGACGGACGUGGCGAUUCACUUCUACGCCUGUUACACUGCAGUUGUUGGACUCAUUCAUUGUCCUGAUGUGUGGAUGGCAUGUGAUGUUAUGAGACCUGAAAUGCGGAAAAAAUGGUUAAGACUUUUCUCCUACCUCUUAAGAGAUGCAUGGCUUCUAUAAACAAAAGACUAGUUCUGAUGCCUCCUGCCCAAGAUGGAGAAACUAACAGUCCUUUCCUCCCCACCUCCUCAUCCUCUGUGACUUCACCAACUGGUUGUGAAGUGCCUGAACUGGUCCAUGAAAAGGAUGCUGGAAGUAGGUUUUGAAAUUAUUUAGAAGAUGAUUUCCUCUCUCUGCUUAGCAGAGAUCAGGGUGAGAUGGACUGUGGUUCUCUGGAUGCUGUUUCCUGCCUUUCCUGGAAAGAGGGAGAGCAUUUGAGUAAGCCAGCAGUGCCAGAGGGAAGAGCCUGCUCACAUGCACACCUGGCUGGAAAAGGAGAGGAGAAGAGCAGCAGAAGAAAAUGCCUUUGGGCAGGGAAGAAGAAAGGAACAGGGUAAGCUUUCCUGUGGAAAAUGCCAACUCCACCUCUACAUGCUGCUGUCCCCAAAAAUCUGGGUAUGGUGCAGUACUUUGUGCCUGGGACAGGAGCAGCUACAAACAGAAAUGCUGCACCUUAGUGUCUGCGUGCUGCAGCCUCUUGACGCUGUGGAGUAUUUGUGGUGACAGAGGGGAAGUAGAAAGGAGAUGACACGUGUCACUGGUACACAAGGUUGUGAGCUCUGAACUGCUGAGAGGAAAAAGCCACAGGCUGGUGGGACAAGUAACAGAUCCCCACAGCUUUGUGAGAAGUGAUGCUUCAGGGUAACAGUGGCCUUCAACGUCAUGAUGGAAAGGCUGCAGUGGAAACCAUCACAGCAGGGUGUUUCCCUUCCAGGGGAAACUUGCAGAUAAGCGUGUUGGUGUCCGCAGGGUGAGAAGAUGGUGUGGAGAUGUGUCUCAUCAGCACUGGCUCUGCAGAAACCCGGCUGCCACCCCAGGGAGCCAGGCUGCCCCUGCCUGGGGGGGUCACACCCAUAGCCCUGUCGUGGAGGGGCUGGGCACCCACAUGGAGACAUGUCGGGGGGCACAAAGGGGCGCUGCUGUGGUGGACAGGGCCAAAAUCACCCCUCGAGCUCCUCUUCAGCUCAGCUCACCUUCCCUGGCCUGCCUGCCAGUUACCUGUGUGAGGACACCUCUGUCUCAGCACUGCCGGGAUGAGGACACAGGGCCUCCCGGGCAGCGUUCGGCAGCACAGCGAGUUGUUCUGCCAAAAAGCCUGAGGGGGACCAAGAAACAGUCAGCUUGCCCCACAUACGCAUCCACAACCACGUCCUGUCUCUGCAACUCGACUGACAGAACCGGGCUGCAGCGAGCAGCUUGCCCCAGCCGUGCCCACCGCCUGUCACUCCCACAGAGGUCCCCUCCCCAGUCAGGUGGGCACAAGUGCUCUGGUUUCUCCUGCUCCCUGUGUUUGUGGGGAAAUUGAAGCCGUCAGCCUCGGCCCUCCCCAUGCCGUUGGUGCCCGUGCUCAUUCCGACAUGUGGGCUCGUUUCUGGCCCUGCCGUGCGAGGUAGGAUGGGGGGAGCGGUGACUCACGAGUCACAGGGCUGCCACACACCUACAUGUCUCACCGCAUGGCGGUGGCCUCGAAGCUGCUGUGUAAUGGGGCCGCCCACGUGGUGGGUGCCUGGCCUAGCCACGAGUUCCCCUGUGGGGCUCUGAAGGCAGUUUGGGGCAGGUGGGGGCAGAAACGCAGUCCCUAGUGAGACAUGGUGCUGUUCAGGGCCAGGGGACGACGCAUCCCUGUGUGAGCGACCUGUCUGGGCCACAUGGCAGCUCUGGGUGUUGGGAAGAACAGCUUUGGGCUGAGGAGGAGAGCAGAGAGCAAGGUCUUUGAUACUGACUUUGCAGUGGCUGGACUGCUCUGCUCUAUGCCAGCUCCCCGUGAAAGCUCUCCCGGUAGUCUGGAGGACGGGUCACCUCCUGCCCACCCCAAGCAGGGCAGCACUUUCAGCAAGUCCUGCCAGCGCUCGGCAUGAUGCCACAGAACGAGGCUCGGGCAAGCUUCACCAGGAGCAGUUUGCCUGCUCCAGCAUACAGGGAACUUCAGUGCAUGAAAUAAAACCAGGAAAAUCCA